UACGUAGGUGGCUAGCGUUGUCCGGAUUUACUGGGCGUAAAGAGCGCGCAGGCGGUCGUUCAAGUCGAGUGUGAAAGCCCCCGGCUCAACUGGGGAGGGUCACUCGAUACUGAUCGACUCGAAGGCAGGAGAGGGAAGCGGAAUUCCCGGUGUAGUGGUGAAAUGCGUAGAUAUUCGGAAGAACACCAGUGGCGAAGGCGACUUACUGGACACAUAUUGACGCUGAGGUGCGAAAGCGUGGGGAGCAAACAGG
rnacentral:rRNA from 1 species